GGACUACAGGGGUUUCUAAUCCUGUUUGCUCCCCACGCUUUCGCGUCUCAGCGUCAGUCACGUCCCAGCGAGCUGCCUUCGCCAUUGGUGUUCCUCCUGAUAUCUGCGCAUUUCACCGCUACACCAGGAAUUCCACUCGCCCCUUCCGGACUCUAGCUUGACAGUAUCCACCGGCUUUCCAGGGUUGAGCCCUGGACUUUCACAGCAGACUUACCAAGCCGCCUACACGCUCUUUACGCCCAAUAAUUCCGGACAACGCUUGCACCCUACGUAUUACCGCGGCGGCUGGCAC
rnacentral:rRNA from 1 species